GGGAAAACCGGGAGCUCCGGGAAUGGGAAAACCCUGGAACAGCGUCCCCGACACCUACACCACCUCCUCCUGCCGCUCUGUGAUCAAACCGCGCCAAUGGCAGCUGCAGGGAGAGCUGAGGCCCACCUGAAAAUUCCGUAAAAUUCCAUAAAAUUCCAUAAAAUUCCAUAAAAUUCCAUAAAAUUCCCACUUUUUUUUUUUCGCUGUCAGCUCCCAGAGGAGCCAGGACUUUCUGGGAAAUUCUAUCACUUCAUCUUGGAGCUCAGGGCCAGGCAAAUCCUCUGGAAUCAGGAGCAGCUCCAGGGAAAGCGCAGGAGGAGAAUUCCCACCGGGAAGGCCAAAAAACGUUGGGAAAAACGGGAUAAACGAAACCCCAAACCCACGGAAAAUUCUGGAAAAUCACCUCAGCACGCCGGGAUAACAACCAAAGUGUCCAAAUGUUUUUUUAUUCCUCACGAGUGACACGAACCACAUGAAUUCCACGGAGCCUCCUUCAAAAAAAAA